AUCAAGCGCGAGAAGGGCGUUUGGUGGAUGCCUUGGCAGUAAGAGGCGAUGAAGGACGUGAUACUCUGCGAUAAGCUUGGGGGAGCCGAGAAUAGGCUUUGAUCCCAGGAUCUCCGAAUGGGGGAACCCACCUGACAGUUUGUUAUUGUUAGCUUCGCUAUCAAUAAUAAGCU
rnacentral:rRNA from 1 species